UACGUAGGUGGCAAGCGUUAUCCGGAUUUACUGGGUGUAAAGGGGGCGCAGACGGCGAUGCAAGCCAGGAGUGAAAGCCCGGGGCCCAACCCCGGGACUGCUCUUGGAACUGCGUGGCUGGAGUGCAGGAGGGGCAGGCGGAAUUCCUGGUGUAGCGGUGAAAUGCGUAGAUAUCAGGAGGAACACCGGUGGCGAAGGCGGCCUGCUGGACUGCAACUGACGUUGAGGCCCGAAAGCGUGGGGAGCAAAUAGG
rnacentral:rRNA from 1 species